GGGCCCGCACAAGCGGUGGAGCAUGUGGUUUAAUUCGAUGAUACGCGAGGAACCUUACCAGGGCUUAAAUGUAAGUUGCAUUAGUUAGAGAUAGCUAUUUCUUCGGACCACUUACAAGGUGCUGCAUGGUUGUCGUCAGCUCGUGCCGUGAGGUGUCAGGUUAAGUCCUAUAACGAGCGCAACCCCUGUUGUUAGUUGCCAUCGAGUAAUGUCGGGAACUCUAACAAGACUGCCGGUGCAAACCGUGAGGAAGGUGGGGAUGACGUCAAAUCAUCACGGCCCUUACGUCCUGGGCUACACACGUGCUACAAUGGCCGGUACAGAGAGCAGCCACUACGCGAGUAGGAGCGAAUCUAUAAAACCGGUCUCAGUUCGGAUCGGAGUCUGCAACUCGACUCCGUG
rnacentral:rRNA from 1 species